rnacentral:rRNA from 1 species
CCUAUCCUAUGGGGGGCAGCAGUGGGGAAUAUUGCACAAUGGGGGAAACCCUGAUGCAGCGACGCCGCGUGAAGGAUGAAGUAUUUCGGUAUGUAAACUUCUAUCAGCAGGGAAGAAAAUGACGGUACCUGACUAAGAAGCCCCGGCUAACUACGUGCCAGCAGCCGCGGCAAUACGUAGGGGGCAAGCGUUAUCCGGAUUUACUGGGGGUAAAGGGAGCGUAGACGGCAUGGCAAGUCUGAUGUGAAAACCCGGGGCUCAACCCCGGGACUGCAUUGGCAACUGUCA